rnacentral:rRNA from 1 species
AUACAGAGGGUGCAAGCGUUAAUCGGAAUUACUGGGCGUAAAGCGCGCGUAGGCGGUUACGUAAGUCGGGUGUGAAAGCCCCGGGCUCAACCUGGGAAUUGCAUUCGAAACUGCGUAGCUAGAGUCUGAUAGAGGGAAGUGGAAUUUCCGGUGUAGCGGUGAAAUGCGUAGAUAUCGGAAGGAACAUCAGUGGCGAAGGCGACUUCCUGGAUCAAGACUGACGCUCAGGUGCGAAAGCGUGGGGAGCAAACAGGAUUAGAAACCCGGGUAGUCC